UACGGGGGGGAGCAAGCGUUGUUCGGAUUUACUGGGCGUAAAGGGCGCGUAGGCGGCGUAACAAGUCACUUGUGAAAUCUCCGGGCUUAACUCGGAGCGGCCAAGUGAUACUGUUGUGCUAGAGUGCGGAAGGGGCUACUGGAAUUCGUCGGUGUAGCGGUGAAAUGCGUAGAUAUCGAGAGGAACACCUGCGGCGAAGGCGGGUAGCUGGGCCGACACUGACGCUGAGGCGCGAAAGCCCAGGGGAGCGAACGGG
rnacentral:rRNA from 1 species